UACGUAGGGUGCAAGCGUUGUCCGGAAUUAUUGGGCGUAAAGAGCUCGUAGGCGGUUUGUCGCGUCUGCUGUGAAAACUCGGGGCUUAACUCCGGGCCUGCAGUGGGUACGGGCAGGCUAGAGUUCGGUAGGGGAGAUCGGAAUUCCUGGUGUAGCGGUGAAAUGCGCAGAUAUCAGGAGGAACACCGGUGGCGAAGGCGGAUCUCUGGGCCGAUACUGACGCUGAGGAGCGAAAGCGUGGGGAGCGAACAGG
rnacentral:rRNA from 1 species